AUUUUAGUGAUAUUAUAAGUGUUUGCUAUUUAGAAAACAUUUGUUCUUUAAAAAUAUAAAUAUAUAAAUUGUACAUAUUUUUGUUUCUUCAAGUUGUCA
rnacentral:misc_RNA from 1 species